ensembl:misc_RNA Metazoa_SRP Metazoan signal recognition particle RNA
GCCGGGCAUGGUGGCAUGGCCUGUAGUUCCAGCUACUCGGGAGGCUGAGGCUGGAGGAUCGCUUGAGUCCAGGAGUUCUGGGCUGUAGUGCACUAUGCCGAUUGGGUGUCCGCACUAAGUUCGGCAUCAAUAUGGUGACCUCCCAGGAGCGGGGAACCACCAGGUUGCCUAAGGAGGGGUGAAUUGGCUCAGGUCAGAACCGGGGCAGGUCAAAACUCCCGUGCUGAUCAGUAAUAGGAUCACACCUGUGAAUAGCCACUGCACUCCAGCCUGGGCAACAUAGCGAGACCACGUCUCUG